ACAGCAGCCGCCGCGGUAGUACGAAGGGGGCUAGCGUUGCUCGGAAUUACUGGGCGUAAAGGGAGCGUAGGCGGACAUUUAAGUCAGGGGUGAAAUCCCAGAGCUCAACUCUGGAACUGCCUUUGAUACUGGGUGUCUUGAGUGUGAUAGAGGUAUGUGGAACUCCGAGUGUAGAGGUGAAAUUCGUAGAUAUUCGGAAGAACACCAGUGGCGAAGGCGACAUACUGGAUCAUUACUGACGCUGAGGCUCGAAAGCGUGGGGAGCAAACAGGAUUAGAUACCCCAGUAGUCCCUGUCUCUUAUAA
rnacentral:rRNA from 1 species